CUCCAGCAAGUGAUUCAUUCCAUCACAUUUACUACAGUCCAUAACCCUAAACCCUAGUUGAUUCAUUGAUUUCAAUCCCAGCAGCAGCCGCCCCAUCCAUCCUCCUCAAUAUGUCUUGCUCAUCACCUUCAUCCCACACUUGUCGUACAACUGCUUCCAUAGAUAAAGGUUGCGAGGACCAGGUUGCCAUCGAUCUAAGCCUAGCGACCUGCGAUGGCGGGGGACACCAAUCUCAAGCCUGUGGUGUAGGUCGUCGCCCCUAUAACAGUAAGCAAGGGCAGCUCAGCGGGCGCUGGCUGGGUGGCGGCCAGUGGCCGGAGGCCGGUGGCCAGCUAGGGCGCGAGCAUGCGGGACACGGGCGCACGCCGCAUCAAGGUCAAGAACCAGCAGGUCUCAGAUCUGCAGGUGGUCGGCUGCUUCUUUGCGAUCAGACAUCGACCAAAAACCAAAAUCCUAGGCAAGCAGCUCAAACUCGAUUAAGAUGGAUAUGUGGAGUACACCGACACACCAUUAAUACGGUUGGAUCAGGUGCCAAUUACUGAGUAUAAAAAGGAGAGGGCUUUAAAGGUGAUGAGGAACAACCAGAUGUUCAACAGGCUUGGUAUAAAUGGAUUGUAUGAACCUGAAUAGAAUGAGAACAAUGAUAGUCAUGUGGUUGUUCAGGAUACAAUGGAAGCACUUGUGGCUGAGCUUCAGAUAGAAGGGAAAGUAUCUAAGACUCCUAUAGAAGCAAUUGCUCAAUUAUUGACUUUAUAAACAAUUCUUCAAAAUAUUGGUCUUGUAGAUGCAACAAAGAGAAGCAGCAAUGUUGGUGAUGCUACACUUGUAGAACUUUGAUGCACUCUACUUGAUGUAUUGUGUUGAAUUCUUGGAUGUGAGAUCACAACAUGAUGCUAGAUUUAAAAUGUUAAAGGAUUUGGUUGUUGAUGAAUGAUAUCUAUGGCAAUAUAUU